UGUUAGUUUUUCAAGCAAACGUGUGAUGUGACCAGACACUGACUUACCAAAUCGAUAUAAUUAUUGACGUAAAUUAAUCUUACGUUUAUUUAAAUGAUAGGGAAGUCGUUAACUGCAUGAUUCAUGCAAAGAUACGACAACACUAGAAUUUUUUCUUGAACUUCACGCACCGUUUCACCGCGCUCAGGUGACAUAUAUACCGUAAAACGAGCUCUUAAGGUAUUAAGCUACUGAGCCUGGAUUGAGGAACUUGAAAUUUAAUUUGGAUAAACCAGAGAGAAAAUGGACAAAAGAGAGCUUAGAGAGAGAAUGGGUUUGAAUCAUCAUUUUCAUCCUGAAAAGAAUCCGUGUAGUAGUAAAUUGCAGCACUGGUGGAACACUCCGAAGGCAUCACAACCACUGCAGAUUGUCCGGCAUAGAUCUUCGACGUUGGAAGAUUCGUCAUCGUCUCCCAUUGGAUCGCCGGCAUCGUCCUCGCCGCACACGCCGUCGUCACCUGUCGGAUCGCCUGCAGCUUUAACCAAGCAUCUGCAUUUACAUUUUAACUUCGAGAAACAACGCGCCAGAUCUUACUCAGCAGACGACCACAAGGAUAGUGUGCUGACAUAGAAAAAAAGAUUGAAUUAUUUUGUGCCAACAAAGACUUGAAUAUGUAUGUCGAUGAAAGGUCAAUAUAUUCGACAUUCAUUCUUCUAUGACAUUAUCUUUUUGUACCGGCCUUCUCCGGGUACAUAUUUACCUCAGCUCAUAGCGUAUCAUUUAAAACACAUUGUCAGUUUUGCUAGUUCCUAUAUGUUAUAUGUGUCAUUGUAUAUUUUUUUUUGUACACUGUCCGCUGUUGUAUUUGUGCCUAUGUAUGUUAUUAUGGGUUUUUAGCCUAUUUGAUUUGAAAUAAAAAUGUCUGUCUGUCAGACAUAAUUAUGUGUUCGUAUCCGUACCAAAUGAAAACUAGUAUGUUUCUUUACAAUGUGUUGGAUAUUAUGUUAUAUGUAAUAACAUUUAUAAAUUACUUUCGUUGUUUUUCUCAUAUUUCCCCCCGCAGAUUUGUACCUGAAAUAAAUACAUUUGCUCGCUUGAACCAUUAGAAAUCUUACCAUAGCACAGAAGUAAAUUCCAGUGUGUUUACCCUAACUGGAUUUUUCUCUCAAGUCACUGAUUUAUAAAAUCCAUGUAGAAUUGAUAAGUAUUAUUGGUCUCUAUAUAUGUGUUUAAAGUCAUUAUAACACGGCUGCUGCAUUUGUGUUAUGAAUAUAAAAUAUAUUAAAAUCUUAUUAAAUCCUGUUUUCAAUGAUUGUUUACUCUAGUAUUUGUCAAAAGUUUGUAUA